rnacentral:rRNA from 1 species
UGCGUAGGUGGUGGGGUAAGUCUCGUGUGAAAGCUCGCAGCUUAACUGCGAAAAGUCACGGGAUACUAUCCGGCUAGAGGCUUGGGAGGGGGGGACUGGAAUACUUGGUGUAGCAGUGAAAUGCGUAGAUAUCAAGUGGAACACCAGUGGCGAAGGCGAGUCCCUGGACAAGACCUGACACUGAGGCACGAAAGCCAGGGAGCAAACA